GGGAAUGUGGCUUAGUGGUAGAGUGUUUGCCUAACAUGCAUGAAGCCCUGGGUUCGAUUCCUCAGUACCA
rnacentral:tRNA from 1 species